GUGCAGUACCAACAGAGGCCAGAAGAGGUUUCAAAUCUCUUGGAGCUACUGUUACAGGCUGUGGCAGGAGCUAUAUAGUCCAUUCUGGUCUCUAACUCCCCAUGUAGCUGAAGUUGACUCUAAACUUCUGAUUCCUGCCUUCACAGAUGAGGAUUGCGAUUAUGGCACAUCAGGAUCUGUGGAUUCCCAGUGUGCUCUGCAUCCAGUGGGCUGUUUAGCAGAUGCAGUAUAUUGGCUCCCUUUGCUAUAUCCUGUUUUCAGUAAAUUUGAGACAAAA